AGAAUCAACGCUGGCGGCGUGCCUAACACAUGCAAGUCGAACGAGAAAGUGGAGCAAUCCAUGAGUACAGUGGCGCACGGGUGAGUAACACGUGACUAACCUACCCUGGAGUGGGGGAUAACUGAGGGAAACCUUGGCUAAUACCGCAUAAUACCUACGGGUCAAAGGAGCAAUUCGCUUCAGGAGGGGGUCGCGGCCGAUUAGUUAGUUGGCGGGGUAAUGGCCCACCAAGACGAUGAUCGGUAUCCGGCCUGAGAGGGCGCACGGACACACUGGAACUGAAACACGGUCCAGACUCCUACGGGAGGCAGCAGUGGGAAUUUUGCGCAAUGGGGGAAACCCUGACGCAGCAACGCCGCGUGGAGGAUGAAGUCCUUCGGGACGUAAACUCCUUUCGAUCGGGACGAUUAUGACGGUACCGGAAGAAGAAGCCCCGGCUAACUUCGCGCCAGCAGCCGC
rnacentral:rRNA from 1 species